CGAAGAAGGACGUGACAAACGACGAAAUGCUUUGGGGAGCUGUAAGUAAGCGCUGAUCCAGAGAUGUCCGAAUGGGGGAACCCACUAACUAAUGGUUAGUAUCCAUAACUGUUAAGGUUAUGAGAAGGAAGACGCAGUGAACUGAAACAUCUAAGUAGCUGCAGGAAGAGAAAGCAAACGCGAUUGCCUUAGUAGCGGCGAGCGAAACGGCAGGAGGGCAAACCGAAGUGUUUACACUUCGGGGUUGUAGGACUGCGACGUGGGACUUUAAAAGGAUAGAAGAAUUACCUGGGAAGGUAAGCCAAAGAGAGUAAAAGCCUCGUAUUUAAAAUUCUUUUGAGCCCUAGCAGUAUCCUGAGUACGGCGAGACACGUGAAAUCUCGUUGGAAUCUGGGAGGACCAUCUCCCAACCCUAAAUACUCUCUAGUGACCGAUAGUGAACCAGUAC
rnacentral:rRNA from 1 species